AUCAGUACACACAGAGAAAUACAGAGACACAAACACAGUUUCAGACAAACGUAAGAGACAAACGGGGGAAUUAAAAAUAAAAUGCCGGCUUCAAAAAUGCAUCCAUUUUCCAACUUGCAAAGUUAGUCCUCUGAGUGAUACAACUCGAAACCCAAUAUAAUCCAAUAUAAGUCCUAUUUCAAGAGCGAUUCAACCCCUUUUUCAAUGUUUGACCAGAGAAAAAUUAAUUUAACAUACUUUUCAAGAUUUAACCGAUGAAUAGAGCGAUU